UUCUUGGGUCAUUAAACCUAA
rnacentral:piRNA from 1 species